CAGUCGCCGCGGUAAUACCGAGGGUGCGAGCGUUAAUCGGAUUUACUGGGCGUAAAGCGUGCGUAGGCGGCUUUUUAAGUCGGAUGUGAAAUCCCUGAGCUUAACUUAGGAAUUGCAUUCGAUACUGGGAAGCUAGAGUAUGGGAGAGGAUGGUAGAAUUCCAGGUGUAGCGGUGAAAUGCGUAGAGAUCUGGAGGAAUACCGAUGGCGAAGGCAGCCAUCUGGCCUAAUACUGACGCUGAGGUACGAAAGCAUGGGGAGCAAACAGGAUUAGAUACCCCUGUAGUCCCUGUCUCUUAUAC
rnacentral:rRNA from 1 species